GGGGGUUCCGGGAGCGGAGCGUCGCGGUGCGUCGCGGUGCGUCGCGGAGCGGAGGGGCCGAGCGAGCGGCGCUCCCAAAGUUCUGGGGAACUCUGUCCCGUCCCGAGCUGCAGCGGCAGCCCGCUGCCGGCCGCUUUAAAUCUCUGGGAGAAAAUGAUUUGUGGCGGAAGAAGCGGGGAUGCUCGCGGCAUCUCUCCGCUGCCGGCGCCGAGCGAAAGUUUGCACGGGGAAACGCCGCGGAGAGCGGCGGGGGAAUGAAGGGAGAGGGAACCGCGUGGUGCGCGGGGAGCAGCGGGGAGGGACGGGGAGUCCCGGCCGGGGGGACCCGGGGGUGCCUCUCAUAUGCUACGGGAGCCGCGCACCGGGGCCGUCCUCAGAAACAGGGGCGCCUGCAGUCCGCCCGGUUACACGUGAAGGUUCCGUCGGAACGGGGAGCGCUGCGGGGCUGAGCGAUGCGGGGGGAGAUGAGCUCGCUUGAGUUUUUUUCCCCCUUUAUUAUUGUCGUUUUUUAAAGGACGCCGGGAUCCGCGUAAAGGUGAAGCCGGGCGGUGCCGAUAGUACAUACACAGCAGCCCCUGACAGCGCCUUGUCACUUGCGCGGCUCAGCGUCGCUUCGAGCGCUGUCGAGGAAACGCAGUCACCCAAUGAGGAGCGAAGGGAAACUGAGGCACGGGCUGUCCCGGGGGCACGCAGCCCCCCCGGCCCCACCUCGCUCUGCAGGUGCCGUCCUCCCGCCCCGCACCCCGCUCACGUCCCAGCACGGCGGUUCGUAGUGUAACCCCGCCGCUGCCUGAAUGGUGAGCGCUCGAGAUUCUACCUCCUCCCGCCCCCAGUUGGUUCACAGUGAUAAAGUUUGGAUCCAAAGGCGCGCUCAGGUGUGGGGGCUCUGCUCCUGCCCUCGCUUUGCUGCUUGGUCACAAAGUUCAGCCGUGGGGCUGUGCUCAGCUGCGAGCUUCGGCCCCUCAGAAAUAAAUCCUUCUCCAAAUUCUGGUGCCUGUGACGAGGAAAUGAGCGCUGCGAGCUGACAGCUCUCUGCAUUCACAGCUCUGUCUUCGAGGGGGAAAAAAAAGAAAAGCAGAUGUGGGAAACUUAGGAAAACUUUUGAAACGUGCCCUUGGCCGUGGGUGAUCCCCCUGUCCCUUUGGAGGAUGGCAACAGGAUUGGAAGUGACAAGGGCUCACUGCUGGAAGUGUCUUUGCUUUGAUCACUCUCCUCGCUGUGUCUGCUCACUCCGAGCGAGGGAAAGGGCUGCACUGCCGGUUUUCUUUUCUUUUUCUUUGUUUUUAAAGGGGGAUGGGAGGGGGAUAUAUUUUUAAAGGUGGGAUAUAUCCGAGUACUUCAUGUGUAAAGAACGGUCCCUGUCACAAGGGCCUGAUUCUGCUCUUAUUGACGCCGCCGCGAAUUCAUCCAGGGAGCAUCAGCAGCGCGUGUGCGGGGCAGAGGAGCGCUGGGUGCGGGUGUGCGUUGCUGCGGGGUCUGAGCCUUCCUCGGCCCCUCCUCGCAGACAAACCCUUGGAGGAGGAUGCACCAGAGGUGCCACAGCAGAGUGCACUUUAAUUCAAGAAGGAUGAAUUGGAGGUGUGAUAUGAUGCUAGCACUUGCACUUCAACUCUUUGGCCUCUUUGGCCAUAUGGGUUAACAAGAAAGAAGCAAUUUUCAGAAAGCAAAUGCAUGCAAAAGAUUGCAUCUUGCCUGGAAUUCCUGAGGUUAUCUGUGCCCAUAGUUUGGAGGCAUGGUCGCCAUCCCAUUUGCAGCAGUGUCUGUUUGCACAAAGACAGACAUAGCCAUCCCUGCAAGUCUCUCCCUUCAAAGUGCUGAAUUUCAGAUUGCAGCCAAAGACCCAAGGCUCAGCUCUCAACCUGUGAUCAAGGAAGAGUCUUCUGGAGGCAUCCACAGGCCAGAGGCAUCCACAGGUCUUCUGGAGGCCAGAAAGGAUAAAUAUCUUACAGGGAACUUGCCUUUUUCUUGGUACACAGUUGAUGUUUUAUCUGAAAUCUGG
rnacentral:lncRNA from 1 species